GUGCAAUCUAGCUCGCUCUUCGCCAGCUAGCUCUUGUUCGACACGUAAUAAGCUUGAGAACGAAUCGCUUGUUUAGUAAACAAGUCGAAUACGAACUGAAUUUUUUAAAUUAUUUAAUAAAUAAGCCAAACACGGGCUUGGGUCAGCUCACUCGUGUUUAGCUCGAUAACAGCUCAAACACAUAUCUUUUAUAUUUAUAUAAUUUAUUUAAUUUAUAUUUAUAUAUAUAUAUAUAAAUAAUUAUAUAUAUAAUAUAUAUUUUUAUUAUUUAAUUUUUACCAAAAAAAAUAUAAAACCUAGCUCAAUUAUAAAAAGACUCAUUUAUAUGUAAAGAUUCAACCAUUAGAUUAAAAUCUAAUGCGUAAGAUUUUAUAAAUUUAUUUUUUUUAUAUAUAUAUCUAAUCUAAUCCAUUUAACUUAUCGUUCGUCGGCCAGCUCGUGAGCCAACUUGUGUUCGGCUCGUUUAUUAAUGAGCCGAACACGAGCUGAAUUUUUUGGUUCAAUACUUUAACGAGCCAGCGCGUGUUCGGCUAUUUUAUUCUGUUUGUUGACACUCCUACUCACGACAAUAAUAAACGUGUCAUCGACUGUUCUUAACACUAGUAGCAAAAAAUUUAAUAAUUAAUAUCCAAAGUCUAAAUUUUGUAGUCUAGUUAUUUUAUAUUUUUAGCUAAGUUCGUUGCUCUAAAAAAAAAUAAACAAAAUAGUAGCAUACUACCAUUCUCUUGAAAAGAUGUCGAUUUAAUGUGUCACAAAUACGAAUGUAAAUUCGCCUUAUUUAUAUUUAGUUUAUUGAUAUUUAUUUGUCAAAGCCGGGAAUUUAUUUCUUAGCAUAAUUUCCAACAAUAUUGCUCAAUGCGUAAUUUGUGAGGUAACUAAAUAAAUCAAGUUCAAAUUCACCGAAACCAAAUAUACUUGGACUAAAAGUCUAGUGUAACUAAUGCUUCAAAAUUGCUACAGUCUAAUGAGAGAUUUUACAAUAAGGGUGCGUUUGGUUCGCGCUAUCUUUUUAAGAUUCCUAGUAAUCUAAUAGAAAUAAAAAACUAUGACGGUGUUUGGCUAAACGCAUUAAGUAAUCUAGUUGGUAAUAUUAGAUUUACUUGGGAAUGAGAUUCAUCCCAAAAUACUAAUCUCAUUCCCUUGAGGGAGGGUGGGUAUCUUCAUAUUAAUGGAUUGGGGUAAUCAUAAUAUGUUUAAUCUCUUUCUUUCUCCCUACCUGCCGGUUAGUUGGUAUUAUUUUUCUUUACACUCUAAUCUCAUAUCUCUCUCUAAACUUAUUUUUUUCUCUAUGUAAACUAAGCUCUCUCACCCCUUUUUUUUUAAAAAUCUCAACUGUCUCACUCCCUCUAAUCUCGACUCAUUUCUCUUCCUAUUUCUUUAAUUGUGCUCUCUCUUUCUAACCUAUGUUCUCUCUCUCCCUUUUUAUGAAACGAUGUUGAAAUUUUUGGUGGCAUUAUCUAAAAUUAAUUAAAGAAAUAAAUAAAUUAAUUGUAUAUUUUUUGUAAACUUAAAUAACAUGACUAAAUAAUAUAACCGUGCGAACCAAACACAGGAAUGUCACAUUCUUAGUAAUAGGAUGAAUAGGAAUAAGAUUCUCAGACAUCUUUUUAUUGCUAGUAAUCUUUCAUAGUGCAAACCAAACGCACCCUAAAAUAUACUGAUGUUGACCAGUUUAUCUAAUAUAAAUUCUUAGAGGAAUAUAUAUUAUAUUAUUGGGUAAACUUCAAAUAUCCCUACAGUAGUUUCACAAUUUUUCACUUCAGUACUUUGUGAUAUCAAGUUAGUCUCUGUAGUUUCACACUUUCUCACUUUAAUAUCCUGUGGUUAAAAAGUGUAUUAAGUUAACCCCAUGUGGUUUCAUUUUUCUCUUUUUAUUAUUCAUUUCACUAAUUUUUUUCGUUAAAUCAAUGACAAAUAGGGAUAUGAAUAGAUAUGGAUAUCCAAAAUUUUAUCCGAAUCCGAACCCGAAUGAAACGGAUAUAUCUGAUGCUAAAUGGAUAUGGAUUCGAAUAUGGAUAUCAAAAAUAGAAACCCGACGAAUAUGGAUUCGGAUAUGGGUUUUGACUGUACCCGAUCCGAACCCGAACCCGACCCAAACCCGAAUUUAUUUUGUAUUAUAUAAUAUAUAUAUAAAUUGAUGUUAUAUUUGAAUUUGUAUUUUAAAAUUUUAGAUUUAAUAUAAUAUAUUUUGAAAUAUUGAAAAAAAAAAUAAUUGUUUCGGGUUUAAAUUUUCGGGUUCGGAUUCGGGUUCGGGUUUCGAAUUUUGGUCGGGUUCGGGUUUGGAUAUGGAUUUUUAAAAUCCGUCGGGUUUGGGUUCAGGUUCGGAUCUCCGGUUUGGAGUCGGAUUCGGAUUCGGUCUUUUGAAAAUCCGCCCCGAAUCCGACCAUUGACAUCUCUAAUGACAAAGUUAAAAUUAAUGGGUACUAAAGUGAAUAUUCGAUAAAUCUAGAUAGGAUAUCGGAAGUUUUUUGUACAUAAUUUAACGAAAUAUUAACGGAGAAAAAAAAAUCAGUGACAAAAUUAAAACUAAAAGAUACUAAAGUAAAUAUUCAACAAACCUAAGUAGGGUAUCUGAAAUAUUUUGUAUAUAACUUAACGAAAUAUUAAUAGAACAGCCGACAAAAAGAUAAAACUAGGAGCCACAGGGUAUUAAAUAAUUGAUGUACUUUAAACCACAGAGUACUAAAGUGAAAAAGUGCGAAAUCACAGGGUACCAAAUUGAUACAUUUUAAACUAUAUGAUAAUAAAGUGAAAAAGUACGAAACUAUAGAAGUGAUUUUUAAAGUUUUCCCUUAUUUAU
rnacentral:lncRNA from 1 species